GGGUGACUAGUGACAGAGUGAGGAAGGGGGUGACACAGUGACAGAGUGAGGGAGGGGGUGACUAGUGACAGAGUGAAGGAGGUGGUGACUGUCACUAGUCACCCCCUCCCUCUCUCUGUCACUAGUGACACCCUCCCUCACUCUGUCACUAGUCACCCCUCCCUCACUGUCACUAGUCACACCCUCCCUCACUCUGUCACUAGUCACCCCCUCCCUCACUGUCACUAGUCACCCCCUCCCUCUCUCUGUCACUAUUCACCCCCUCCCUCUCUCUGUCACUAUUCACCCC